GGGCAUUUUUCUGCAGUGUACAUGCACCGCAACACAUCUCCUUUAAAAAAAAAAAAAAAACACCUUUAAAUUUUGAACUAUUACCAGAUACUCCUCGUCUUCGUCUAUUCUAGAUAAAAUUAAAUCGCUUCGUUAGAAAAUAUACCGAUUCAAUAAUCUACCGUUUUUUUUUUUUUCUUUUCAAUUGGACACACAGUAAGAACGAUAUUACUCUAUACUGGGUGUCCCGUGAACUCUGCUGUGUAUGGGCACAGAAAAUCUCCUUAAAAAAAAAAACAAAAAAACGAAUGCCCCGGUGCGAAUCGCAUUGAAAUUCAACUCCGUAGUGAUAUAAUGGGUACCUAUAGUUUUAUAGUACACGCGGCUAUCUAUCGUUUGGGGUUAAAAUAAUUCGAUUCUUUGAUAGGCGUUGAUCUGUCUACGUGCAUUUUUAUGAUAAUAUAAUAUUGUUACUGACUGAAGUAUAGAAUAAUUAAAAAAAAAAAAAACAAUGACUCCUGUAAAUGUUAACUGUACAGUAUAAUCUUGUGAAUGUUUCGUUUCUUUCAUCGGACAUAUCAAAUAUGUUUUAAGCCGUUUUCUUAAUUAUUUAUUAUAAUACAAAUUAUACGUUCUAGCGCAGAACAUUUCGAAUAAAAUCGCAAUUUAAAACGGCGUAACGAAUUGCAUUACCCUAUGGACACCGUUUUAAAUUAACGCAUUUCCGCGGCACUUAAAAUUCGUUUAAUAUUUUUUUUUUUUAAAAAAACCCGUACCUAUACGUGCUAUCGGGUCUGUCGGCCGGUUACCUAUCGUUUCGUGAAAUAUAUUCGAUUUCGGAUUUUCUUAAUACGGAUUUAAAUAAUAUAAG